CAAGAGCGUAUAUUAAAGUUGCUGCGGUUAAAAAGCUCGUAGUUGGAUUUCAGUCUAGGAAGGUUAACUCGCCGAAAGGUUGUACGUUGAUUUUCCUCAGACUUCGUCAGAAGCUCGUGCUGCACUUAACUGUGUGGUACGAUGUUCUGACCUUUUACCUUGAGGAAAGUAGAGUGUUUCAGGCAGGCUACCCAGCUUGAAUACAUUAGCAUGGAAUAAUGAAAUGGAUCUCGGUUCGAUUUCGUUGGUUCUAGAGCUGAGGUGAUGAUCGAUAGGAACAGGCGAAGGUAUUCGUACUUGAGAGUGAGGAGUGAAAUCCGAUGAUCUCUUAAAGACGAUCCGAGGCGAAAGCAUUUGUCAAGGAUGUUUUCAUUGA
rnacentral:rRNA from 1 species